CACAACAAAUGAGAAAUGAUGUAACAUUCAUUUAUCAAGUGCCUGGAUUGGGCCCACAUCUAUUGGGUUGAAAACACAGAUUUGAACAUUUUGGAGCUUGACACCAAAGAAACCACCGAGAUCCCACUUAUGACAACAGCUGACACGCAACCCUUGUAUUAUAUGAGGAACAUUCGAAUAUCAUGAUAUAAGGCUAUCAUUGGCUAUUCUGGAGCAUAUCCAUGUACAGACUUCUCAUUAAUUAGAACUAUCAGCCUCCUUCAGGAUCACCACUUUACUCACCGAGGUGCAAAGCCAAAGCCAGCUGGUUUGGGCGGAGGGCAGACUCGGAGCACCGCGCCGAGAUGGCGAAGGGCUGACCCCGACGCACAAUCAAGCGCUUCCAAUCGAUCUCCCCGCUAUGGCAAAGACCAACCCUCCCACGAUGACACUUGCCCUUGAAGCACAGUUGCAACCCGCUGCCCCCCAAGUGACCUCUAACCCUCACUUCCCAAAAGGACUCCUCUUCCAGAAUCUGCACGUCCGCGUGUGUUU